UACAGAGGGGGCGAGCGUUAAUCGGAAUUACUGGGCUUAAAGCGCACGUAGGUGGCGACGUAAGUCGGGUGUGAAAGCCCCGGGCUCAACCUGGGAAUUGCAUUCGAGACUGCAUUGCUGGAGUACGGAAGAGGAAGGCGGAAUUCCCGGUGUAGCGGUGAAAUGCGUAGAUAUCGGGAGGAACAUCAGUGGCGAAGGCGGCCUUCUGGUCCAGUACUGACACUCAAGUGCGAAAGCGUGGGGAGCAAACAGG
rnacentral:rRNA from 1 species